rnacentral:snRNA from 1 species
GUGCUCGCUUGGGCAGCACAUUUACUAAAAUUGGAAAGAUACAGACAAGAUUAGCAUGGCCCCUGGGCAAGGAUGACAUACAAAUUCGUGAAGCGUUCCAUAUUUUU